GCACAAAUUAUAUGUAGAUCUUGUUAAAAUGCAAAUAUGAAAUGGUCUCUGAUAUUUUGCCUUUUUAGUAAAUUCACAAGUAAUAACAAU
rnacentral:pre_miRNA from 1 species